GAAUAAACAGUUCUCUGUAUCAUUUCGAUGGGUUCCAUCCACCUCUGUUAUCAUUGAGUGAUCAGUUGGCUUGACAUAGAGUCCGCAAAACUAGUCUCUAGGAAGGAAUUCAGUUCCUGAAACUUAAUCUAGUGGAUUUUAAAUCUAACAACUGCCCUGCCACCACCCCCCUGAAGUGUGAGCCCUCCUGUUGAGCUGAGAGCCUUACUAGCUUUCCCCUCUUCAGGCGACAUUCGUUUUUUCAUUCAAAUAACUAUCCAAU
rnacentral:lncRNA from 1 species